GUCAGUUAACUUAAAUAACCCAGGGUUGAUGACGUAUGGACCCUGCAUUUGGGAGUGCGACGACAUCAGCAGGCUGAAACCAGUCUCUCGAGCUGAAAGAAAACGCAGCUGAGGAGAUAUGAGGUAAGACUUAUCCGGCAACAUUACAUUUAUAAUGUCUUUAAUUUAAUUAUAGUGUUAGCAUUGUGAACCAAAAUUAAUUUAAAAGUGUGUAUUUUUGUAUUUAUUGGCGCGAUAUUCGUUUAAAUCUCUCGUUUUUUUCUCUUGCUCGCUUACGUUGCUGCCUGAGGAAACGGACAUAAAGUUAAGCCAGCCGAUUCGAAAGAAAACACAGUAACACACAUUUUUCAUAAUUUUAAGAUUUUUCUGAACUUCAUUGGAGGUCAAACUGCAGAAACUAUAACGUUAGAUUGUUAAUAGCCUAAUUUGAAGUGUUAUACCCGACUUUUGGGAGCAUAUUGUAUGUCUUAUCUGGCGACAUUACAUUUAUAACGUCUGUUAUUUGAUUAAAGAGUACCUAACGUUAGCAUUGCUGAAUUCAAAAUAGUUUGAAAUUUUGUAUAUAUAUAUAUAUAUAUAUUAGUAUUAUAAUAUUCUCGCACUGUAUUAAGAUAUUUCGAGAUCUUACUCGUUCUUUUAUUCACCUCUUUUUUUCCUUUCAGACUGCAGACAAGAGCCAUCGACCAUCGUUCCAGGAAACUUCCACCUAAACAGAUGCUGAGGGCCAGAUUUCCCUGCCAAGCACUCCAAGGCUCAUCAUGCUCGGAGAGUCCAUUCUGGGGGCAAAAAAUGGAUGCUUUCCAUCGAGGGCAGAGUUCUCCUCCAAUUGAGUGACCGUUGUGAUUUCACUUCUGCUCUAGCCAUGUAUGAUGCAGCCACUACAUUGGAAUUUAUCCAGAGGGUAGAAUCCAGCCCAGGAAGUCAACUAGUUCAGGUCCAGUUUUAAAAGAAUAAUAGUUCUGAAAAAAAAAAACGUCUUGGAGAAAACAAUAUUCAGGUUUGAAAUCCUGCUGUAAAUGUUAAUCAUUUAAUUUUUAUGCAUUUGUAAUUUACCAGAAACAUUUUAAUAAAUAUUGAUUUUUUUUGUGUGUUCAGAAAAGUGUUUUUGUAUGAAGUGUUGAAAUUAAAUGAAAUAUUCACAGAAAAAUGUUAACAUAUUAAAAAAAAUGUAUGUGUUCAGAAAAGUUUUGAGAUGUUCACAGAAAAAAUGUAACAUGUUGAAAAAAAUGUAUGCUAUGCUAUUUUUAAUUUAUGAAUUUUUGUAAUUUAA